CCUACGGGUGGCAGCAGUGAGGAAUAUUGGUCAAUGGGCGGGAGCCUGAACCAGCCAAGUCGCGUGAGGGAAGACGGUCCUAUGGAUUGUAAACCUCUUUAGGCGGGGAGCAAUUCCGUGCACUCGUGCCCGUAGGGAGAGUACCCGCAGAAUAAGCAUCGGCGAACUCCGUCCCAGCCGCCGCGGUAAUACGGAGGAUGCGAGCGUUAUCCGGAUUUAUUGGUUUUAAAGGUAGCGUAGGCGGCCUUUUGAGUCAGCGGUAAAAUGGCGGGGCUAAACCCGGGCGGGCCGUUGAAACUGGGGAGCUUGAGUGGGCGAGAGGGAUGCGGAAUGCGUGGUGUAGCGGUGAAAUGCAUAGAUAUGACGCAGAACUCCGAUUGCGAAGGCAGCCUACCGGGGCAAGACUGACGCUGAGGCACGAAAGCGUGGGGAUCGAACAGGAUUAGAUACCCUGGUAGUC
rnacentral:rRNA from 1 species